UUGAAACACCAGUUCUAGUCCGAUCAUCGAAGUUAAGCAACAUCGACCCUGGUGAGUUCCAUGAUGGGUGACCGCUUGGGAAUAACAGAUG